CCUACGGGAGGCAGCAGUGGGGAAUAUUGGGCAAUGGAGGCAACUCUGACCCAGCAAUGCCGCGUGAGUGAUGAAGGUAAUUUUAUUGUAAAGCUCUUUUCUUUGGAACGAAUAAAUGACGGUACCAAAGGAAUAAGCCCCGGCUAACUACGUGCCAGCAGCCGCGGUAAUACGUAGGGGGCAAGCGUUAUCCGGAUUUACUGGGUGUAAAGGGAGCGUAGACGGCAAGGCAAGCCAGAAGUGAAAGGGCAGGGCUCAACCCUGUACAUGCUUUUGGAACUGUGGUGCUAGAGUGCAGGAGAGGUAAGUGGAAUUCCUAGUGUAGCGGUGAAAUGCGUAGAUAUUAGGAGGAACACCAGUGGCGAAGGCGGCUUACUGGACUGUAACUGACGUUGAGGCUCGAAAGCGUGGGGAGCAAACAGGAUUAGAUACCCGAGUAGUC
rnacentral:rRNA from 1 species